rnacentral:lncRNA from 1 species
GAGAAAGGUAUGCUAAUUAACAAUUAAUUCUUUUAUCUCAUAGUGCCAAGACUGUAAGACCUGAAAAAGAUGUAGAAUAAAAUUAGUGGUAAUUAGCUUUUUAGAGCAUUAAACAAACAGUGACAUGAACGAUGGAGAAUUAAUGUUAUGCAUUUAUUUUUAACAAUAUUUAUACAGGCAGUUUUUGAACAAGGCCCCGUGGCAUUCGCUUUUACUAAUACAGGCAAAACAGCAAUGAGAAAUAAUUACAUUUAGUCUGCAUUAAGACAGCACUAUGCAAAUCAAAGGAAUAAUGAAGAGAAGCCUGUUAAUAAGGUUUUUGGAGACUUUACACUUGAAUGUAAUAUUUGGGCUUCAUAUUCCUCUGUGGGAUCCAGGAAUUAUUACCCUUCAGCAUUUCAGACUCCAGGCAUGAGGCUCUCAAUAGCACUGGGGUGAAUCAGGGCGGCCCACUGGCUGGGGCUGCACUUCUGCUUCUGGGUCACUUCUUUAGCAAGCAGUGAGCAGGAAAGGGGGCUCAACCAUGAGCAGGAAAGGGAGCUCAGCUGUGUCCAUGCCACUCUGCACCCCAACCACAACCUGGCCAAGCUGGGCAUUGGGCUGCUCGUUUUGCCCAUAUAGAUUGUGCUAUAAGGUAAUGGUCAACAUUGCAAUGCCUGGCAGUAGUUUCUAUAGGUAGUUGCACCUUCUAGAGCAUUUAACUCCUUGAUGCAUCCACUGGCCUAUGUGUUGUUAGUAAUGAAAAGCACUGGGUCCAGAUACCAAUACUCUACUCUGCCUCUUUCAGUAAUCCAUCGAUAGCAGGAACCAGAAGUCUGCGUUCUCUCACUUCUCCUUGCAAGCAGUGAAAUCAAGAGUUUAAAAUAAAGAUAAGUUUAUUGGGAUCAGAAAGUGGUUAAACAAAUCAGAGUGACUGCAUAUAUAUGUUGACAGUUCUCAUCAAGUCACGCCUCCACUCUUCCUGGAAGUGGAGUAUUAUUCCCCAGUGGACAGCCUGGAAGCUGAUGAUAUUCCCUUUGCAGAGUGAUUGCAAGAGCCGUAAAUUGAAACUAAAGGGGAGAUUGAAAAGCAGCAGCUUGUACCACAUAACCAGUGACCUUCCUGAAGAACUUUAAUGCCUGAAACAGCCAAAAAUUUGUUUUGAAUCAAUUCAAUAUCACCUCUGCACUCAGCAAUCUCUACCUCUGAAAAAGGCUAUGAAGAGCAACGUGGUUGGCUAAGGCAGCCUGGCAGCAUUUUGCUUACAGCGGUGUAGAUGGCACUUCUCCUUAAUGGGAUUGAAUAAAAGCUUCCAAUGUAUUAUCCUUUCUGUGGGG